UACGUAGGAGACGAGCGUUGUCCGGAAUUACUGGGCGUAAAGCGCGUGUAGGCGGGCGUGCAAGUCUGCUGUGAAAGCUCCUGGCUUAACCGGGAGUGGUCGGUGGAAACUGCACACCUGGAGGACGGUAGAGGUAGGUAGAAUUCCCGGUGUAGAGGUGAAAUUCGUAGAUAUCGGGAGGAACACCAGUGGCGAAGGCGGCGAUCUGGGUCGAUACUGACGCUGAGGUGCGAAAGCGUGGGGAGCAAACAGG
rnacentral:rRNA from 1 species